GUUUUAUUCAGUUGUGUAAUGUUCAGAAGAGUGACGGUUCCCCUUUAAGUGGACACGAGUGACGCUAUUUCCACUGCCAUCAUUUCUAUAAAAUGUAUAUAAAAGAAAAGUAUAAAGUUUGAAAAGCUCUUUAUCUAAAUUCACCCAAAAGGAACCACAUAAAAUUAAAACAAAAGCAUACUUUGUCUGAAAGAAUCAAGGUGUCGAAUUGGAGCUAUUGAAUGUGGCUUUGCUAAACGUUUUAGGAAACAUCUAAAAUAAACAAUACUAAGACAACUAAACGAUGUAAUGACACACAUUUCGUAUCCCCGGAAGAGUUUGUCUCCUCUUAUAGACACUCGUUUGUUUUCUCAGAUUCAUGACGUGCACGCAGACAACGCUUGCUGACAAUAGUCCUUCUGAGACAUACAUUAUACUCUGUACAGGAAAAAGAAAUGCUUCAAAAUUGUACUUUUCCAGUUAAAUUGUUUGCAAAGCAUAGAGUGUACAAAACAUAGACUAUACAAGUGAAAAAACACAUGGUCUGAAAUGGGGUGGGUGGUUUAAUGGUUCUGAAUUGGGUUGCGUUAUCUGGUAUUGGUAGAGGAGUCUGAAGCCUGCAGUAGGAAGAGAAUGUGAAGAGAGGUUUUUAGUUUUUGGUGUGCAGAAAAUCUGAGGUGAGCAAAAGUCUGGAGUAUGCAGAGGGUUCUAGGUGGGGUGGAUAAGAACUGAUAGAUUGGUAAUGGAAAAGGGGAUUUGAGAGAUGCAAGGUCUGUAAGUCAGUGAAACCCCCAGAAUGGUUGGCUAGGUGAAUUCAACAAUACAUAUUGUCCUUGAUUUAAUAUUUUUGGAUAAACUUUAAAGUUAUUUAAAAAAAUAUUUUGAU